GAUGAACGCUCGCUACAGGCUUAACACAUGCAAGUCGCAGGACUGGCGCACGGGUGAGUAACGCGUAUCCAACCUUCCCAUGCCCACGGGAUAACCCGUUGACAGACGGACUAAUACCGUAUGGUGAUGGAUGGGGAUGCGUCUGAUUAGCUUGUUGGCGGGGUAACGGCCCACCAAGGCGACGAUCAGUAGGGGUUCUGAGAGGAAGGUCCCCCACAGUGGAACUAAGACACGGGCAAAACGCCUACGGGAGGCAGAAGUAAGGAAUAGUGGUCAAUGGGCGAUAGCCUGAACCAGCCAAGUAGCGUGCAGGACGACUGCCUAUGGGUUGUAAACUGCUUUUAUGCGGGGAUAGGUACCGCAUGAAUAAGGACCGGCUAAUUCCGUGCCAGCAGCCGCGGUAAUUC
rnacentral:rRNA from 1 species